rnacentral:rRNA from 1 species
GAUGAACGCUGGCGGCGUGCCUAAUACAUGCAAGUCGAGCGAACGGACGAGAAGCUUGCUUCUCUGAUGUUAGCGGCGGACGGGUGAGUAACACGUGGAUAACCUACCUAUAAGACUGGGAUAACUUCGGGAAACCGGAGCUAAUACCGGAUAAUAUUUUGAACCGCAUGGUUCAAAAGUGAAAGACGGUCUUGCUGUCACUUAUAGAUGGAUCCGCGCUGCAUUAGCUAGUUGGUAAGGUAACGGCUUACCAAGGCAACGAUGCAUAGCCGACCUGAGAGGGUGAUCGGCCACACUGGAACUGAGACACGGUCCAGACUCCUACGGGAGGCAGCAGUAGGGAAUCUUCCGCAAUGGGCGAAAGCCUGACGGAGCAACGCCGCGUGAGUGAUGAAGGUCUUCGGAUCGUAAAACUCUGUUAUUAGGGAAGAACAUACGUGUAAGUAACUGUGCACAUCCUGACGGUACCUAAUCAGAAAGCCACGGCUAACUACGUG